CGACAGGCGUAGUCGAUGGACAACCGGUUGAUAUUCCGGUACCCGCUUUGAAGCGCCAAACAUCGAAUCCAUUAAUGCUAAGGCCGUGAAGCCGCCCUGAGCUCUUCGGAGCGUAGGGGAGUGGUGGAGCCGCUGAUCCAAGGUGGUAGUAGGUGAGUGAUGGGGUGACGCAGGAAGGUAGUCCAGCCCGGGCGGUGGUUGUCCCGGGGUAAG
rnacentral:rRNA from 1 species